CAAGUAGAACGUAUAGAAGUUGAUGAAGCGCCAUGUUUUCUUUCCUUUACAAUUCAAUCUGAUGUUACAUCUUACAUGAAAGCAGAACAUGCAUCCGAGAAGAAACUAUUAUUUCAUUACUACUAGAUUAGAGUACAGAUGGACAUCUACAUAAACAAAAGAUACUUUACCAGAAAGAAAGACCUCCUUCAAGAUAUACUCAGGAAUUCCUGCUACUCCGAGGCACCCAAACUUCCUCCAGAGAACCCUACCUUUCUCCUCUAAGAUGUCCUGAAUUUUGAAGGUCUGUCCACAAAGCACCGGCCUGGACGCAGACAUACGCCAUAAACUGCAUGGCCUCCAGGAGGGACUGAAAACCGACUUCUCCCAUCAAACCGACACACUGCUGCUCGAUGCAGAUGUUGGACCUGACAAGCAGCCACAUGUGUUAGACCUGACGGAUCAGUAAAAAAGAAGUGGGAUGCUCUAGCACAUCCACCAUCUCCAUUGGAACUGUUGUUGCACUAUGCAGCGUUAGCGACAACCCAAGCCAAGGCAGGUAUUAGAUCGAUAAAACCUAUACUACCGCUCUUUGCAUGCACGCCUCUUUUUUUUCCAAGAACUGUUCUGUUCUUUAAUUAAUAAUAAUACUCUGUAGCACACCUAAAAGUUCAUAUGCACCCGUCCUUUUCAUGAAUCCCAUAGUUCUAAUUAAUAGCACAUAUAUAAGUUUAUAUUUGCGUUGCCAAAAUAUGCCCAACCAACAAGUUUAAGCUCAAUUCGGCAAGCCACUUAGUUUUAUUUCCACUUACCACUAUUGAGCUUGUAGGACAUUGUACAUAAUAUUGAGGAUUGUCUGAUCAACUCCAGCCAGCAAUGACACAACCUACAUCAUUAGUUCCGUCUAGCGACAACACCACCUCUAGCAGGUACCAUCUUCUACACGAAAUCAAGCUACCUCCAGCAGGAUCCAUAUUGGAAAACAAGUUCAAAUAGUUUACCAAAAGUAUAAUGCAAGUAUUUUCUUUACAAAGCAAACUGGAAAUCCAAGGAACAGAAGUCACAAAUGAAGCAAAAAAGGUUACAGAGAACAAACUUCUCAAUGAUCAGGUAUUUCACUUCUCAUCUUCUACAUGUGUUAAAUAAUUGUCGUUAUUUUAUGAAUUUCCAAAACUGCAG
rnacentral:lncRNA from 1 species